UACGUACUCCCUCCGUUCUGAAUUACUUGUCUUAGAUUUGUCUAGAUACGGAUGUAUCUAGACUCAUUUUAGUGCUAGAUACAUCCGUAUUUAGACAAAUCGAAGACAAGUAAUUUGGAACGGAGGGAGUAGCUG
rnacentral:pre_miRNA from 1 species